AACGAACGCUGGCGGCAUGCCUAACACAUGCAAGUCGAACGAAGGCUUCGGCCUUAGUGGCGCACGGGUGCGUAACGCGUGGGGAUCUGCCCUUUGCUUCGGAAUAACAGUUAGAAAUGACUGCUAAUACCGGAUGAUGUCGUAAGACCAAAGAUUUAUCGGCAAAGGAUGAACCCGCGUAGGAUUAGCUAGUUGGUAGGGUAAAGGCCUACCAAGGCGACGAUCCUUAGCUGGUCUGAGAGGAUGAUCAGCCACACUGGGACUGAGACACGGCCCAGACUCCUACGGGAGGCAGCAGCGGGGAAUAUUGGACAAUGGGCGAAAGCCUGAUCCAGCAAUGCCGCGUGAGUGAUGAAGGCCUUAGGGUUGUAAAGCUCUUUUACCCGGGAUGAUAAUGACAGUACCGGGAGAAUAAGCUCCGGCUAACUCCGUGCCAGCCGCCGCUGUAACAC
rnacentral:rRNA from 1 species